rnacentral:rRNA from 1 species
CAGUAGCCACGGGAACACGGAGGGUGCAAGCGUUAAUCGGAAUUACUGGGCGUAAAGCGCACGCAGGCGGUCUGACAAGUCAGAUGUGAAAUCCCCGGGCUUAACCUGGGAACUGCAUUUGAAACUGUCAGGCUGGAGUCUUGUAGAGGGGGGUGGAAUUCCAGGUGUAGCGGUGAAAUGCGUAGAGAUCUGGAGGAAUACCGGUGGCGAAGGCGGCCCCCUGGACAAAGACUGACGCUCAGGUGCGAAAGCGUGGGGAGCAAACAGGAUUAGAUACCCCGGUAGUCCCUGUCUCUUAUAC